rnacentral:rRNA from 1 species
GACGAACGCUGGCGGCGUGCUUAACACAUGCAAGUCGAGCGGAAAGGCUCCUUCGGGGGUACUCGAGCGGCGAACGGGUGAGUAACACGUGAGUAAUCUGCCCUCCACUCUGGGAUAACG